GGCGGGACUUCCGGGACCGUCCUCCUGGGGUCCCGGUGGCUCGGGGGUCGGCACUUACCCGAAGGACCCGAGAGCUGGGUGGGGCGGUCCUGGAGGAUUCUCGGCUGGGGCUCUCUUGGCGGCAGGGCCGCGUGGUCUCCGAGGAUGUGGCCUGUGCUUCUCCCAGGAGGAGUGGCCCGGCGCCUGCUGCGUGGAGGUUGGAUGUGGGGGAACUUGGCAUCUGCGGCCCCGGGGUGGUCGGUGUGGAGUAGAGCGGGAGGCACCGGCCGAGCGGGGCGCUUUUGUAAGCGCGUCUCAGGUCAGGACGCUCAUCGCAAGUCCAUCUGCUUGGGCGCCUUCCCUGAGAUGUGUGACCCAGGCUGGAAAGACGAGUUGCUCCUGGCUGAGCACCGGGGAGCCGCUGCGGGCAGAAGCUGCAGUGAGGAGGCGUGUGGGAGAGGCUUCGGCCUCAGCGCUCCCGGCCCCAAAGCAGCUCAGCCGAGAGAAACCCAGCAGAGGCGGGCAGGGUAGGGCCUCGUAGCGAGGCACGAGAAGCCCUCAGUGUGCGGGGAGGACGGGUCCCCGCCAGCGCCGGUCUCCUCCAGCACCAGGACGGGGAAGGCCGGCAGGAGCGCCCCAGGCUGGGAGGCCGCUCACCCCGGACAGUACGGCAAGUGGGAGGGAGCCUACGGCCGCCACACCGGGGCAGGUCUGAGUGCAGGUAAUCCCCGCCUCUUUCAACGGCGGAGAAUCUACGCUGGAGAAGAGCCUUAUGAGUGCAGCCAGCGUGGGAAGGAUGCAUUCAGCGAAGGAUACACGCUUGUUUGGCACCAGAAGGUUCACAGCAGAAAGGCCUGGGACUUCCCUGGCGGUCCGGUGGUUAGGACUCCGCGCUUCCACUGCGGGGGGCACGGGUUCGAUCCCUGGUCGGGGAACUAAGAUCCCCGCAAGCCAAAGGGCGCAGCACCGCCCCCGCCCUACCCCCCCCCCCCCCAAAAAAAAAAGCCUGAUAAGUGCAGUAAUAUCAGAGAACCUUUAGCGACAUCUCUAAGCUCAGUUGGCAUCAGAAAGUUUAUACUAGAGAAAGUCCCUUUGAAUGCAUGGAAUGAAAGCAUUUUGCCAAAGGUGUGCUCUGAUUUACACUGGAAAGUUCACAGCCCAGGAAAGUGUUAGGAGUGCAGCAAACGUGGGAAAACCUCCUGCCAAAACGUCAAGCUUGUGCUGCAUGGAAGUCUGUUGAGUAUGCCCAGUGUGAGAAAGCGUUAAGCUGCAGGUCCAGCCUCAUUCACCCCUGGCAGGUUCACCCUCGAGGAAGACCUCAUGGAUGCAGAGAUGGGGGAAGGCCUUCCACCCAAGAGGCUUCUUCAUUCAGCAGCAGAACGUUCGCCGUAGAGAGGCCUGUGAGUGCGGCCGAUGUGAGAAAACCUUCAGUCAAGGGCCUCACCUCGUAAAGCAUCAGGAAGUUCAUGCUGGGGAAAGGCCUUAAGUGUGCAGGGGACGUGCUGUCUCCUCGUUCAGCGGAACAGGACGCGCGCCAGAGAUGAGCUGCGGGAGCCUCUGUGAGGAUACCCUGGGCUGGAAGCUGAGCUUCAUAGGGUCGAACGGGAUAUUCCUGACGAGCGCUAGGUGUGUGGGGAGCUUUCGGGCGCUCUCACCUGCCCGGGGCCCUUGCCAGAGUUCUCUCGCUGUCAGUGCCCGUGGCAGAAGCCAUCUCACCACUCUGCCAGCUGGGAGGGACUCGUCACCUGUGCUCGUUCCAGGCCCUGGAGGGACCCAUGAGCAGCCUGGCCUGUUCAUGGGCCUCAUCUCCUUCCUGACUAGUUAGGGCGUGGGUGUGACCCAGCACUGGCUAGGAGGACCUCAGCUGGGCCCUUUCUGUGGCUCUCAGGGAUGGUUUACCUUUUUUCAGGGACAUUGUUGGCCUCAUGUGACUCGAUGGAUUUGUCCAGCUUCCAAGUCAGACUUCCAAGGGAACUGCCUGCCUCCCAUUAUUUUGCUGGGUGUGGAAAUAAAGGCCUUGUUACUGAAGCCACCUUGAACCUGGGGAUUUCGGCUUACUGUGUAGGAUCAGUCAGUGCUCUUAUUCUUAGGGGCACCGUGUUCAGUGAACCACUGUUAAAGAUCCCUGGGGACCAAGGUGUUUUGAUUGCGGGUACACAUCUGCUGUCUUUCUUGGUGGAUGCACCCCCCUUGCCUUUGGUGGUCGAUGCCUGCCGUUUGGCCUCUGCUCCCCUGGAAUCCCAUCGUCUCCAUUGAAACCGGGGAGCCCACGUCAGUGGCAGCAUCCCCACCAUCACGCAUGCCGUCAAGGAGAACAGUCCCGAAGCUUUCCAAGGAGGCCUUUGGAUUCCCUCCUCCAUGCCAGGGAAGCUCUGGCAUCUCAACCUAGCUGAACGUAGGCCAUUUUUGAGGAUAAGCCUCAGUCAAACAGUCAGGUAUGUUGUUUAGAAACACCUCCAGCUGCUCAUGUGAGUGCAUUAAAUCUGGACUCUAGUCCCUUUACCACCAUCCAUCAAUUUGGCCUGAUCUAGUGUUAUGUUCCACCCUCCGUGGUCUGACACCCUUAGAAUCCACUUCACACGUGUUUCCCAUGUUUCUGGUAUAUAUUAGAAAAGGCUUGCUCAUUUUCUAGGUGGGUAAGCUAGUCUUCCCGGAGCAUUGUGUAUUCCUGUCCCACUGGAGCAUGCUGUGAUUUGACCUUAGUCAUGUGUCUGGUGGCAACGGGGCUAGUUGUGCUGGGUCUUGAGAAUAGGUGUCCCUUUUCAAGGCAUCUCCCCUUGGCAAGGGUGUCACCGGAUUUUCAAGCAAAGGAAGAUGCCACGGACAAACGACCUCUACUGGUGAGGAAGGCUUAGAACAACUUGGGGUUUUAGGAUGAUCGGUUCCCUGGAUCUAACCAGAUGUCCCCACUCCCAGUUUCAUGCUCCCACCCUUUCUCAGUCAGUGCCUGACUUUCCCUUGAGGUACUGGUGAGACUGAAUCUAGCUGUUCACAAGCAAUACAAUGAACUUUUCUGUAUGAUUUUUAGAAAUAACAGCCCUAUGACUGCAAGAAAAGAAAGAGGUUCUUUAUUGAAGUAUUCUGGUUCUGUUACUUGUCCUGAGAGUUAAGUCACCAUGACUUGUCAUUUUCUCUCUAUAUGCACUCCAGUGCACUCAAAGCUCUAUCCCAUACCGUACUUCCUGUAGUCAUCUUUACUACCAUUUAAAAAAAAAAAAAAAAAAGGUUCAGUAGCCACAGGCGCUCCAAGUCACUCGCUUCAGUUAGCACUUCACCACAAGCAACCAAAGGCGAAGGCUUCAUUGAUUCUGAUGCUGGUGCAUGGGGGCAUGCCAUGGAUUACUAGCUUCCCGUUUCCCGCUGGCAAUGAGCUCAACACUGCUUAAGCUUGAAAUCACAACAGAUCAAUUCCCAGAUCCCACUUUGCAAGUCUGUCUCCUGUGAUCACUCCCGGUACCAGUUCUGUAUCAGUCAGGGUCCAGUCCAGCAGACAGUAACCACACAAUAAUAUGAGCAAGGAAGGUUUGAGAUAAGGAUUAUUAACUAUUUCCAGGGAGAUGAAAGAGCAUUUGAAGGAAUACCCCAAGGGAGAGUACCCACGGAAGGAACAAAUGUGGAAGGCAGGGAGCCCUCCCUAAGGCUGGAUUGACACCUUGUUGGAGAUGGUGGUGGUGUUUUAACUCAACAGACAGACGGCAGAAAAGUUCUCAGGGUUGAUCUUGGCCAGAGUUGGUCCAUAUGACUGAUGGGCAAGAGCUCUGAGCUAGUGGAAGGCGGGACCCUCUAUCCCCAGCGCCCCCCCCUCCUGCACUGGGGUGCCUACGUGAUUCACCUGGAAGCUGCCCUGGGGAAGGGAGGUGCUGUCAACUUUGCUUAGAAGCCUGCUGGGUCGUGGCUGGGCUUGCUGGUGAGCUGCUGAGAAGCCCUCCGGGGAGUGCCCUUGAACCCUCUGGAAACUGCUUACAGGGGUGCCACUGAGCUCCCCACCAGGAAGCCACUUCAGGUGCCCUGAAGCUCACUGGGAGGCGAGCUCCUGGGUACACGGCUCCAGCCAAGCACCCGGGGAACAAGGAGGAGAAACUUGCUCUUCCAGUGUCCCUCCAGCUCCCUCUACCGACAGAACCUGACAUUGCGCCAGCUGCAAGGAAGACGUGGUCUGGACCAGAAGCAGGACAGUGGGAAGUGGUGUCAGGGCUGAGAGGCCACGCGUUUACCACCGGCACAACCGAAGUCGUGUUAUGACGCUAGCCCACCCUCGAUGGCAAAACCCAGCAAAGACAGCAGGAGAAAAAGAAUACUGGUCUGUGUCACAUGUGCAUGGAUGCAAAAUGCUAAAGAAAUCUCAGAAAACUGGAUUUAGCAAUAUAUAAACUAUAAUGCACUAAGACCACCUUGGGUUUAUAUUGGUGUCUGCUGGCUCUCCACCGAAAUCUGUGCUCUUCUUUCAUAGUAUGGGGCUGUCACCGUGAAGCACCCAGCUGUGACCAGGUGACCUCCUCAUCAGUGGAGUGCUGCCUCCAGGCUAAGGCUUUUAGGAAGAGAGCACGUGGGCCUCCUCCCCGUCUCUUUCCCGGUGGUGGGGUGGUGCGGAUGAUGACCGGCCCCUUGGGGAUGGAGGAGUUACCAGGUGGUGGCGUGUGAGGAGCUUCCUGCCAAUCCAGCUUCCAUCCUGGGCUAAACAGGUGAUAAACUUCUCAUGUUUUGAGCUAGUGCUCACUUCGGCUUAGGUAUGUAUGUGUAUGUGUGUGUUUUAGCCUUACCUAGCCAUAUUUAUAAGUUAUAUAGUUCACUAUAUUUACAGCUUAUUAAGGGAUAAAAAUGAUAUGAUCAUGUUAACAGAUGAAAAAGUGUUUAAUAAAA